CCUACGGGUGGCAGCAGUGAGGAAUAUUGGUCAAUGGGCGCGAGCCUGAACCAGCCAAGUAGCGUGAAGGAUGACUGCCCUACGGGUUGUAAACUUCUUUUAUAAAGGAAUAAAGUGAGGCACGUGUGCCUUUUUGUACGUACUUUAUGAAUCAGGAACGGCUAACUCCGUGCCAGCAGCCGCGGUAAUACGGAGGAUCCGAGCGUUAUCCGGAUUUAUUGGGUUUAAAGGGAGCGUAGAUGGGUUGUUAAGUCCGUUGUGAAAGUUUGCGGCUCAACCGUAGAAUUGCAAUUGAUACUGGCAGCCUUGAGUGCAGUUGAGGUAGGCGGAAUUCGUGGUGUAGCGGUGAAAUGCUUAGAUAUCACGAAGAACACCGAUUGCGAAGGCAGCUUACUAAACUGCCACUGACAUUGAUGCUCGAAAGUGUGGGGAGCAAACAGGAUUAGAUACCCCAGUAGUC
rnacentral:rRNA from 1 species